AUAACAAAAGAUUAAAAUAUUACACAAACUUAGCUGAUAAAGCAGCAGCAACAUUUGAGAGGAUUGAUCCAAGUUUGAAAGAAGUUCUACUGUGGGUAAAAUGCUAUCCAACAGUAUCACAUGCUAUGGAAAAACCAUUCAUGGAAGGAAGAGGAUACUAUCAUCCUUUCUUUAACAACAUUAGGCUUUUACAAAGAGAGAAAGAGAGGAGAAAUUAGUCACAUGAAGAAUCUUCUGCUUUGGGCCAAGAAACAAGAAAUCCGAAUGGAUCUAGCUACUUGCCUAAAAGAGAAGAAGAAGACAUUGCAGAAGAGUAAAAAUGAGAUAAAACCUCAAUAAAUUAUUCUGUCACAAAAAUUAAACACAUUUCUUUCCUGUAGUAUUUAUCAUAUUUAACCUCCGCCUAUGUAUCAUUAAUCUAAACAGCAAAUAUAUUAAGUAGCGUUUUCCAAAAA